rnacentral:rRNA from 13 species
GGUUGACCUCGGAUCAGGUAGGGAUACCCGCUGAACCUAAGCAUAUC